GGCGAUGUGGUGAAAUUGGUAGACACGCUACCUUGAGGUGGUAGUGCCGUUAAGGUUUGGGAGUUCGAAUCUCCCCAUCGUCA
rnacentral:tRNA from 5 species